UCUUUAAUUAGUAAUUCUAAUAAAAGUUUUCACUUGUUAUGCAACUAUAAGAAAUGAACAAAAUACGCUAUUAAUCGCAAAGCAUUCGCGCUUUGUUUCGAAUUUUUUUUAGUGAAAUAAUUAUUGAUGUAGUCAAAAGAUGGCGCACAUAUCAGCGAUAUCGACUAUCGGCAUAUUCACACGCUUCCGGCCAUAACGGUUAUUACUGCGGUUCGGAACUCAAAGUGUGAACGUUCUCUGAUUAAUCGCGUAUUUUACUCAUUAAAAGUGUGUAACGAGUGCGAAUUUUUGUGGAAGAUACCGUUUAAGAAGAUAGGCGCUUGCUAAAACGUAUUAUUCAUCGUAGAUGUCCGUAAUUAAUCAUAAAUGCACAGUGGAUACACUGUGGAUUGAAAACGGUAAAAUGCUAUACGUAAAAUUAAGUGCAAAUAUUUGUUAAUUCUUUGACGGAGCAACAAUAGAACCUGCAGCAUGCACGGAACCGAACAAUGAUUGUUGUACAAUAUUGAGUGCGUGGACGUGUUGCAGCAGUGUAUUUAUUUCUGGCGUUUGCGUUUCGUUUACCGCGGUGUAAUAAAUUCACGAUAUGUAAGAAAUUAAAUGCAGUGGAGUUGAUUUUAGUAGUGUGUGUAAUUAAGUGUAAGUAUUCGUUAAUUUUUCGAUGGAGCAGAAGUGGAUUUGCAGUAUUCAAACAAAAGCAGACGGAGCAAACUACAACACUGUAACUGGUAUAGCUAAGAGCGUAUUUAGUUAGAGUGCAACAACUGAGGAGAUGCAAAGAUCCCGACAGAUUGGAAAGGAAGAAGUCAAAAGUCAGGUCGACAUUGUUAUCGAGGUUGUAGGUAGGCCAACUGUGCGGGUGGGACUAUUCAUUUGCGGAGAUGAAGGAGACCGGGAGUAAAGGAAGCGACUCUACGGCAUGCGCUGGAGACAAAAUAUACGGGGUGGUCCGAGCAAGUUUGCGGCAGGCCGCAACUUCAUUUACACCUAUUCAGCCUCCCCGGACCUCCUCUUGAACGCAGCCUUUUAGAUUUACGAGCAACCUCCCCGCCAUUCUCUUCCUCCUUCCUUUUCUCUCAUACUCUGGAUCGGCGGCCGAAAAAAGACCACGGUAACGCACCGCCGCGCAACCACAUGGAACGCGUGCAAAGUGUCUUCCAAUUGGCCAUCUUGCUAAAGCUGCGGCUUUGAUGAUUGUAUUAAGAGCAUUUUAGCUGUCUGUUAUUAUACGUUUAUAAGCGGUUAUUAUAUUAAUAUAAGUGCGUUAAUUCAGAUUUAAAUACAGUUAAAAUGUGUAAAAUCAUAUGUAGAGCAAAAGAACUGGAUUCUGGAAAAAAUUGUGGCCAAAUAUUUAACCGGUUCUAACACGUUUCACAAAAACCGAGGAAAUGAAUCGGAAAAAAACUAACGAGUCCGAGAGCAUAGAACUUAAUUUAACCAGAAAUCGUGGCUUUGUCGAGGGUUUUUCGAUCGUCAUUAUCGGUGGGUGUCACGGAGAUUUCGAUGAUCACGGUGGUCUAUAUGGGUCGCCCAUAAAAUUCGUUACGCUGCCCGGAACGCCGUACGUUACCGUCGUCUGUGAAAAGGGAACGAGAAGAGGCAAGUGAGAAGAUGAGAAAAUGAAAGAUAUUCCGGCUUUGCGGAAAGGAAAAUGUCCGGUGUUAGGUAUUGGUAUUAGUUUUUCACAACAACUGUUCAACUCAUUAUCUUGACCGACUGCCUCAGGGAAAAAAACAGAAAUGAUAACUUUUGCCUCUUCCUUUUCAUACCUCUGUUAAAUCCAGUGAGCUCCCGCUGGAAUUCCCUUGUAACACACAUUUUCACCUAAUAAGUACGAAGAAAGAAAAUCCCAAGGGGAAAAGUCUUUCGGCACUUCAUUGGUGAUGGUUUUCAAAUUCUAACGUAAACUCACAAGAGACACAUAUUAUAUUUGAAAGCAUAUUUUAACUGUUUUAUGCUAGUUUGUGCAUUCGUGCAAUGCGUGUCUAAUUAUUAUAAGCUUUAAUUUGUCCAUAUCGCCAAUAUAACGACGUAUCCUAUAAUUAGAAUUCACAGUGAAUCAUGAAAUAAUGUGUACACUCUCAUAUUCAUUCGUAUCAUUUUGAGCUACUGUCGAUACUUUAGAUUGCUUAUUGAGAUUCUACCACUUAGAGAUGCAUAAAGCAGUGAUAAUUCAAAUUUAUCGCUUGGUUGUUCGCGAGGUUAUCUGCGUUAGAAGCCAUGUGCUGGAUCUGUUCGGAUGGUAGCAAAGUAUGAGCUUCAUCUUUAUCUCGGGCAAUACUUUAUUGCACGCAUGGCAAAAAAUUUAUUU
rnacentral:misc_RNA from 1 species